UACAGAGGUGUCAAGCGUUGUCCGGAUUUAUUGGGUUUAAAGGGUGCGUAGGCGGCCCUGUAAGUCAGUGCUGAAAUAUCCCGGCUUAACCGGGAGGGUGGCAUUGAUACUGCAGGGCUUGAGUAAAGUUGAGGUUGGCGGAAUUGACGGUGUAGCGGUGAAAUGCUUAGAUAUCGUCAAGAACACCGAUAGUGCAGACAGCUAACUAAGCUUUAACUGACGCUGAGGCACGAAAGUGUGGGGAUCAAACAGG
rnacentral:rRNA from 1 species